rnacentral:rRNA from 1 species
UACGGAGGGAGCUAGCGUUGUUCGGAAUUACUGGGCGUAAAGCGUACGUAGGCGGUUAUUCAAGUCAGAGGUGAAAGCCCGGGGCUCAACCCCGGAACGGCCUUUGAAACUAGGUAGCUAGAGUCUUGGAGAGGUUAGUGGAAUUCCGAGUGUAGAGGUGAAAUUUGUAGAUAUUCGGAAGAACACCAGUGGCGAAGGCGACUAACUGGACAAGUACUGACGCUGAGGUACGAAAGCGUGGGGAGCAAACAGG